UACAGAGGUCUCAAGCGUUGUUCGGAAUCACUGGGCGUAAAGGGUGCGUAGGCGGCUUGGUAAGUCAGAUGUGAAAGGCGGGGGCUCAACCUCCGGACUGCAUCCGAUACUGCCAAGCUAGAGUACUGGAGAGGUGUCUAGAAUUCUCGGUGUAGCAGUGAAAUGCGUAGAUAUCGAGAGGAAUACCAAUGGCGAAGGCAGGACACUGGACAGUUACUGACGCUGAGGCACGAAGGCUAGGGUAGCGAACGGGAUUAGAUACCCCGGUAGUCCUAGCAGUAAACGGUGCACGUUUGGUGUGGGGGGAUUCGACCCCUUCCGCGCCGGAGCUAACGCGUUAAGCGUGCCGCCUGGGAAGUACGAUCGCAAGAUUA
rnacentral:rRNA from 1 species